CCUACGGGAGGCUGCAGUAGGGAAUAUUGCUCAAUGGGGGAAACCCUGAUGCAGCCACGCCGCGUGGAGGAUGAAGGUUUUCGGAUUGUAAACUCCUUUUGUUAGGGAAGAUAAUGACGGUAUCUAACGAAUCAGCACCGGCUAACUCCGUGCCAGCAGCCGCGGUAAUACGGAGGGUGCAAGCGUUACUCGGAAUCACUGGGCGUAAAGAGCGCGUAGGCGGGAUAGCAAGUCAGAUGUGAAAUCCUAUGGCUUAACCAUAGAACUGCAUUUGAAACUGUUAUUCUAGAGUAUGGGAGAGGGAGGUGGAAUUCUUGGUGUAGGGGUAAAAUGCGUAGAGAUCAAGAGGAAUACUCAUGGCGAAGGCGACCUGCUAGAACAUAACUGACGCUGAGGCGCGAAAGCGUGGGGAGCAAACAGGAUUAGAUACCCGGGUAGUC
rnacentral:rRNA from 1 species